rnacentral:rRNA from 1 species
GUCGACGGGAGAAUUGCUAGCUUGCUAUAAUUCUCUAGUGGCGCACGGGUGAGUAACACGUGAGUAACCUGCCCCCAAGAGUGGGAUAGCCCCGGGAAACUGGGAUUAAUACCGCAUAAAAUCGCAAGAUUAAAGCAGCAAUGCGCUUGGGGAUGGGCUCGCGUCCUAUUAGUUAGUUGGUGAGGUAACGGCUCACCAAGGCGAUGACGGGUAGCCGGUCUGAGAGGAUGUCCGGCCACACUGGAACUGAGACACGGUCCAGACACCUACGGGUGGCAGCAGUCGAGAAUCAUUCACAAUGGGGGAAACCCUGAUGGUGCGACGCCGCGUGGGGGAAUGAAGGUCUUCGGAUUGUAAACCCCUGUCAUGUGGGAGCAAAUUAAAAAGAUAGUACCACAAGAGGAAGAGACGGCUAACUCUGUGCCAGCAGCCGCGGUAAUACAGAGGUCUCAAGCGUUGUUCGGAAUCACUGGGCGUAAAGCGUGCGUAGGCGGUUUCGUAAGUCGUGUGUGAAAGGCGGGGGCUCAACCCCCGGACUGCACAUGAUACUGCGAGACUAGAGUAAUGGAGGGGGAACCGGAAUUCUCGGUGUAGCAGUGAAAUGCGUAGAUAUCGAGAGGAACACUCGUGGCGAAGGCGGGUUCCUGGACAUUAACUGACGCUG